CCUACGGGGGGCUGCAGUGGGGAAUAUUGCACAAUGGGCGAAAGCCUGAUGCAGCAACGCCGCGUGAGCGAUGACGGCCUUCGGGUCGUAAAGCUCUGUCCUCCAGGAAGCUAAUGACGGUACUUGAGGAGGAAGCCCCGGCUAACUACGUGCCAGCAGCCGCGGUAAUACGUAGGGGGCUAGCGUUAUCCGGAAUUACUGGGCGUAAAGGGUGCGUAGGUGGUUUCUUAAGUCAGAGGUGAAAUGCUACGGCUCAACCGUAGUAAGCCGUUGAAACUGGGGAACUUGAGUGCAGGAGAGGAGAGUGGAAGUCCUAGUGUAGCGGUGAAAUGCGUAGAUAUUAGGAAGAACACCGGUUGCGAAGGCAGCUCUCCGGACUGUAACUGACACUGAGGCACGAAAGCGUGGGGAGCAAACAGGAUUAGAUACCCUUGUAGUC
rnacentral:rRNA from 1 species